AACUAUAACGGUCCUAAGGUAGCGAAAUUCCUUGGCAGGUAAGUUCUGACCCGCACGAAAGGUGUAACGAUUUGGGCGCUGUCUCGGCAGCAGACUCGGUGAAAUCUUAGUACCUGUGAAAAUGCAGGUUACCCGCAACUAGACGGAAAGACCCCAUGGAGCUUUACUGCAGCCUGAUAUUGAAUUCUGGUCAUACAUGUACAGGAUAGGUGGGAGACAAAGAGACGUGCACGCCAGUGUACGAGGAGUCGACGUUGGGAUACCACUCUUGUGUGACCGGGGUUCUAACCUGGUAUCGAGAACAGGUACGGGGAGAGUGUCAGGUGGGCAGUUUGACUGGGGCGGUCGCCUCCCAAAGAGUAACGGAGGCGCCCAAAGGUACGCUCAGAUUGGAUGGAAACCAAUCGACGAGUGCAAUUGCAGAAGCGUGCUUGACUGUGAGACAGACAAGUCGAACAGGGACGAAAGUCGGGAAUAGUGAUCCGGCGGUGCCGAAUGGAAGGGCCGUCGCUCAACGGAUAAAAGCUACCCUGGGGAUAACAGGCUGAUCUCGCCCAAGAGUUCACAUCGACGGCGAGGUUUGGCACCUCGAUGUCGGCUCAUCGCAUCCUGGAGCUGGAUUCGGUUCCAAGGGUUGGGCUGUCCGCCCAUUAAAGCGGUACGCGAGCUGGGUUCAGAACGUCGUGAGACAGUUCGGUCCCUAUCUGUUGUGGGCGAAGGAGAUCUGCGGAGAGCUGUCCUCAGUACGAGAGGACCGGGAUGGACCUACCGCUGGUGCACCGGUUGUUCCGCCAGGGGCAUAGCCGGGUAGCUAAGUAGGGAAAGGAUAAGCGCUGAAAGCAUCUAAGCACGAAGCCUACUCCAAGAUGAGAUCUCCCAUUCGCAAGAAGUAAGACCCCUUAAAGACGAUAAGGUAGAUAGGCCAGGGAUGGAAGUGCAGUGAUGUACGGAGUUGACUGGUACUAAUCGGUCGAGGACUUAAUCAG
rnacentral:rRNA from 1 species